UACGGAGGGAGCUAGCGUUAUUCGGAAUUACUGGGCGUAAAGCGCACGUAGGCGGCUUUGUAAGUAAGAGGUGAAAGCCCAGAGCUCAACUCUGGAAUUGCCUUUUAGACUGCAUCGCUUGAAUCAUGGAGAGGUCAGUGGAAUUCCGAGUGUAGAGGUGAAAUUCGUAGAUAUUCGCAAGAACACCAGUGGCGAAGGCGGCCAACUGGACCAACACUGACGC
rnacentral:rRNA from 1 species